rnacentral:rRNA from 1 species
UGUAAGCGUAUACCAAAGUUGUUGCAGUUAAAACGCUCGUAGUCGGAAUUUGGCAGUUCCGGAAGUGUGCACGUCGUGUGCGCACUUUGCGGGGACUGCUUUUGUGGUCUUGCGUAGGAUGAGGCACUUUCAUUAGUGAACGUCCUCACGCAACCACUCUUUACUGUGAGAAAAUCAGAGUGCUCAAAGCAGGCAUUUGCCGUGAAUGUAUUAGCAUGGAAUAAUAGAAUAGGACUCGGUUCUAUUUUGUUGGUUUGUUGGGACUGAGUAAUGAUUAAGAGGGACAGUUGGGGGCACUUGUAUUCCGGCGCUAGAGGUGAAAUUCUUAGAUUGCCGGAAGACAAACUGCUGCGAAAGCGUCUGCCAAGGAUGUUUUCAUUGA